AACAUCGCGCACCUGCGGGAACCUGCGGAAGGAUCAUUAACACUCAAAAUCUUUAAAAGAUACCCAUCUCUUACUUGCCUUCUUGGUAAGUUUGAAUGGGUUCUUUUAAAAAAUCCCACUCUUUUUCCUCUUCUUUUUAGAGGAAGAAAAAGAGUAUUUGUUACCCAAAAAUCUCUUUGGGUUCAAUUGAGAGUAUACCUAGAUUUACCUUUUAGGUAUUUUUAGGUAUAUAAUACCCCC
rnacentral:misc_RNA from 1 species